rnacentral:rRNA from 1 species
UACGUAUGGAGCAAGCGUUAUCCGGAUUUACUGGGUGUAAAGGGAGUGUAGGUGGCCAUGCAAGUCAGAAGUGAAAAUCCGGGGCUUAACCCCGGAACUGCUUUUGAAACUGUAAGGCUAGAGUGCAGGAGGGGUGAGUGGAAUUCCUAGUGUAGCGGUGAAAUGCGUAGAUAUUAGGAGGAACACCAGUGGCGAAGGCGGCUCACUGGACUGUAACUGACACUGAGGCUCGAAAGCGUGGGGAGCAAACAGG